UAGGGAAUCUUCGGCAAUGGGGGGAACCCUGACCGAGCAACGCCGCGUGAGUGAAGAAGGUUUUCGGAUCGUAAAGCUCUGUUGUUAAGGAAGAACGAGCGUGAGAAUGGAAAGUUCAUGUCGUGACGGUACUUAACCAGAAAGGGACGGCUAACUACGUGCCAGCAGCCGCGGUAAUACGUAGGUCCCGAGCGUUGUCCGGAUUUAUUGGGCGUAAAGCGAGCGCAGGCGGUUAGAUAAGUCUGAAGUUAAAGGCAGUGGCUCAACCAUUGUAGACUUUGGAAACUGUUUAACUUGAGUGCAGAAGGGGAGAGUGGAAUUCCAUGUGUAGCGGUGAAAUGCGUAGAUAUAUGGAGAAACACCGGUGGCGAAAGCGGCUCUCUGGUCUGUAACUGACGCUGAGGCUCGAAAGCGUGGGGAGCGAACAGG
rnacentral:rRNA from 1 species